UACAGAGACUGCAAGCGUUAUUCGGAUUCACUGGGCGUAAAGGGUGCGCAGGCGGUCGGGUGUGUCAGAUGUGAAAUCCCGAGGCUCGACCUCGGAACUGCGUCUGAAACUACUCGACUAGAGUACUGGAGAGGGUAACGGAAUUCACGGUGUAGCAGUGAAAUGCGUAGAUAUCGUGAGGAACACCAGAGGCGAAGGCGGCCACCUGGACCAGUACUGACACUGAGGCACGAAAGCGUGGGGAGCAAACAGG
rnacentral:rRNA from 1 species